GUCCAAAAACUUGUUAUCACUCAGUGUUACGACACUUAAAAAAAAAACCAAACAAACACUCUCUCGAAACUCACCGAGACUUCUUCUCGAUUUCUCCUCCGUCAUGUUAUCUGGUGCUUUACUUCAUGGCUCACACUGGACAAACCUCUAAUCGUCGUCGUCCAUGGCGACGGAGUUCAAUCUUCCGGGGCUUCGGUUCUGUAGACUAUAUGCUUCUGUAUUAAUGGGUCUCGAUUAGGGUUUCAGUUUGAUUUGGGGUUUCUCUUCUUCGUCUCUGUUUCUGUAUCAAUGGCAGCUUUCCUCAACCUUAACUCUUAUGAUGUAGUCAAGAAGCUCGAUGAGCAUUUUCUCAGUCACCUUGUAUCACCUUGUAAGUUGUGCACAUUUUUAAUAAGAUUAAAUCCUAAAGUCUCAAUCUUUUCGAUCUAUAAGAGUAACAUUUAGUUUCCUUUGAGUUUGUUUACAGUAACAGGUACCAUAGUUCCAAGGAUUAUACUUGUCUUUGCUGCCCUUGCGGUUAGUGAUUCAAAUGGCUUCAAUUCUGACCUAGAUAUCGUGAACCCGAGUCUAUACUCUUUAUAGGAGACUCUGUGGAUUAAAUAAAAUAAAGGAGUCAGGUUCGAGGGAGCUAUGCUCUUCGAGUUCAAAGAAAAGGAAGGAGUCGGGGUUUCCUGAGCAACAAGCUGCUCCACAGCUAUAUCACUGGCAUAUUAGGCAUCCAGAAAGUCACACAUAUACUUGACUUCACAGAAUCGAAAAUAUUGUGACAUUUCCAUCCACAAAUCCUAACACACAGGACCAUGUACAUCUUGAUAACAUCGGGUUCUGUUUUUUGUUCUCUUUUCGGGUUAAAUUUUUUGUUUGUCUACUUGUAUCAUGCUUAAUGAUCUAUGUGAUGUUUGACAAUUUAGAUUUUCUAUUUAUAUCUACUUUACAUUAUUAAUGUUUGUUAACAUAAUUGUAAAGAGUUUUAUUUAUUUAUUAAUUAUUAUAUUUAGUUUU